GACGGAGGGUGCUAGCGUUGUUCGGAAUUACUGGGCGUAAAGGGCGCGUAGGCGGCUCUUUCAGUCGGAUGUGAAAGCCCGGGGCUCAACCCCGGAACGGCAUCCGAGACGGGAGGGCUCGAGACCGGGAGAGGAGGGUGGAAUAGCCAGUGUAGAGGUGAAAUUCGUAGAUAUUGGCUGGAACACCGGUGGCGAAAGCGGCUCUCUGGCCCGGUCCUGACGCUGAGGCGCGAAAGCGUGGGGAGCAAACAGG
rnacentral:rRNA from 1 species